GAAUAUGGGGGGACCAUCCUCCAAGGCUAAAUACUCCUGACUGACCGAUAGUGAACCAGUACCGUGAGGGAAAGGCGAAAAGAACCCCGGCGAGGGGAGUGAAAAAGAACCUGAAACCGUGUACGUACAAGCAGUGGGAGCCCCACCACUAAGCCAGUGGUGAACUCCACAUCCGCAUCCUUUGCUGAGGAUACGGUUAACGGAGCGAAAGCGACGUUCAACCGCAAAACAAGCAGAGGGGGCUUAGUGGUGGGGUGACUGCGUACCUUUUGUAUAAUGGGUCAGCGACUUAUAUUCUGUAGCAAGGUUAACCGUAUAGGGGAGCCGGAGGGAAACCGAGUCUUAACCGGGCGUUAAGUUGCAGGGUAUAGACCCGAAACCCGGUGAUCUAGCCAUGGGCAGGUUGAAGGUUGGGUAACACUAACUGGAGGACCGAACCGACUAAUGUUGAAAAAUUAGCGGAUGACCUGUGGCUGGGGGUGAAAGGCCAAUCAAAC
rnacentral:rRNA from 1 species